GAGAUGAUAAAUCAAAGAUACCUAGUCGUCUCAUAGCCUACAUAGCGUCAAAUGUAGGUAACAUUUGACGCCUGCCAAUGUAAGUGAAACCUC